GCUUUUUUUUAAGUACAUGAGAAGGAGUGGGCGCACAGGGAAAGUGAAAGGGAACCCUAGUUGAGUUUUGAGAUGGGGGAUUUGGAGAGUCAGGUGGUGGAUGGAAAGAUGGCUGUGGUGGAUGUGGAGGAGCAGGAGAAGGAUAGGCUUAUGGAGGGAAUGACAAUCUUGGAUUUUGAUGUGUUGUGUUCGACGGUGGCUUUGCAGACUCAAGGGAAAUGGAGGAAACUAGAAACUGCAGAUUUUGAUGCUAACGAUGCUAUUGGAGGGGAAUUUGGUGGUGUUUUUAGGAUGUGGGAAGGAGAAGUCCUUAAUUGCUUCGAUGACCGCCGCNCGCAUCGCUAUUGAAUCCCUUUGUUGUCCAUGCUACAGAUUUGGGAAGAACAUGAGACUAGCUGGGUUUGGUUCUUGUUUUCUUCAGGGAACUGUAUAUUACAUUCUUGCUCUUAGCGCGCUCCUCAACUUCAUUGCCUUCAUAAUCACCAAGCGGCGUUGCUUUCU
rnacentral:misc_RNA from 1 species